CAAGUCGAGGGGCAGCGCGGGGCGGCAACGUCCUGGCGGCGACCGGCGGAAGGGUGCGUAACGCGUGAGCGACAUGCCCGUUGCCCGUGGACAACCGGUGGAAACGCCGACUAAUCCACGAUGGGAUAUUGUGCCGCAUGGCACGAUAUUGAAAGUUACGGCGGCGACGGAUUGGCUCGCGUCCGAUUAGCUUGUUGGCGGGGUAACGGCCCACCAAGGCUACGAUCGGUAGGGGUUCUGAGAGGAAGGUCCCCACAAUGGAACUGAGACACGGUCCAUACUCC
rnacentral:rRNA from 1 species